ACUUUAUAGGGUGUCUCAAAAGUUUUGGUCCCUGAAGAAGUUCGCAAGAGUUCUUCUCAGGUAUUGAAACUUUUCGGACACUCGUAUAACCG